GUGAAUCAUCGAAUUUUUGAACGCAAAUUGCGCUUCCUGGUAUCCCGGGGAGUAUGCCUGUUUGAGGGUCAGUAUUAACAACAAUUCGGUGUAGUUUCAAAUUGUGACUUUUUCUGAGAUUGGGUUAUCUUAACAUUUUUGGUUAAGUGGCUUAAAAUUGACCUUUUUUGUGAAUUUUAAAACGUACAUAAAUUUUUUUUAUUCGUCUAUUCUUAAUGCCAAAAUAUUAUUAUUUACGACAACAUCGUA
rnacentral:misc_RNA from 1 species